rnacentral:rRNA from 1 species
GACGAACGCUGGCGGCGUGCUUAACACAUGCAAGUCGAACGGAAAGGCCCUGCUUGCGGGGUACUCGAGUGGCGAACGGGUGAGUAACACGUGGGUGAUCUGCCCUGCACUUCGGGAUAAGCCUGGGAAACUGGGUCUAGUACCGGCUAGGAGCCAUUUUUAGUGUGAUGGUUGGAAAGUUUUUUCGGUGUAGGAUGAGCUCGCAGCCUAUCAGCUUGUUGGUGGGGUAAUGGCCUACCAAGGCGGCGACGGGUAGCCGGCCUGAGAGGGUGGACGGCCACAGUGGGACUGAGGUAAGGCCCAGACGCCGAAGGGAGGGAGCAGGGGGGAAGAUUGCAGAAGGGGCGCAAGGCGGAUGAAGAGACGCCGCGUGGGGGAUGACGGUCUUCGGGUUGAAAACCACAUUCGCUAGGGACGAAGCAUUUUGUGACGGUACCUAGAGAAGAAGCACCGGCUAACUACGUG